rnacentral:tRNA from 1 species
UGUGGCAGAUAAGUGCUAGGGAUUUAAGCUCCUUCCAUGGAGGUACCAUUUUUCCUCCCAUUAAAA